rnacentral:rRNA from 1 species
AUGACGGCGGCCGACUGCCGGACCUGCCUCCGGGACAUAAUUGGGGAAUUUACCCCCGAGUAUUUUGUCGGGAAGCCAGGCGGGAGAGUCUUCCGUGUGCGCUGCAACUUCCGGUUCGAGACGUAUUCUUUCUUCUCUGGGCACCCACUGCUACAACUCCCGGCCAUGUUGCCGCCUUCGCCGGCGCCGGCGCCAGCGGCGACCGGAGAAGGAGAAACAAGACAUAGGAGGACAGGAGAAAACUGGCAAAGAGAAAGCCCUCAGUACAAUGUAAGCUGA